UGGGGAAUAUUGCACAAUGGAGGGAACUCUGAUGCAGCGACGCCGCGUGAACGAAGAAGGCUUUCGAGUCGUAAAGUUCUUUUAUAUGGGAAAAUAAUGACGGUACCAUAAGAAAAAGCCCCGGCUAACUACGUGCCAGCAGCCGCGGUAAUACGUAGGGGGCUAGCGUUGUCCGGAAUCACUGGGCGUAAAGGGUUCGCAGGCGGAAAUGCAAGUCAGGUGUAAAAGGCAGUAGCUUAACUACUGUAAGCAUUUGAAACUGCAUAUCUUGAGAAGAGUAGAGGUAAGUGGAAUUUUUAGUGUAGCGGUGAAAUGCGUAGAUAUUAAAAAGAAUACCGGUGGCGAAGGCGACUUACUGGGCUCAUUCUGACGCUGAGGAACGAAAGCGUGGGUAGCAAACAGG
rnacentral:rRNA from 1 species